rnacentral:rRNA from 1 species
CCAAAUCUUGACAUCCUUUGACAACUCUAGAGAUAGAGCCUUCCCCUUCGGGGGACAAAGUGACAGGUGGUGCAUGGUUGUCGUCAGCUCGUGUCGUGAGAUGUUGGGUUAAGUCCCGCAACGAGCGCAACCCUUAAGCUUAGUUGCCAUCAUUAAGUUGGGCACUCUAAGUUGACUGCCGGUGACAAACCGGAGGAAGGUGGGGAUGACGUCAAAUCAUCAUGCCCCUUAUGAUUUGGGCUACACACGUGCUACAAUGGACAAUACAAAGGGCAGCGAAACCGCGAGGUCAAGCAAAUCCCAUAAAGUUGUUCUCAGUUCGGAUUGUAGUCUGCAACUCGACUACAUGAAGCUGGAAUCGCUAGUAAUCGUAGAUCAGCAUGCUACGGUGAAUACGUUCCCGGGUCUUGUACACACCGCCCGUCACACCACGAGA